CAGUCGCCUCGGGAAUACGGAGGGUGCAAGCGUUAUCCGGAUUUAUUGGGUUUAAAGGGUCCGUAGGCGGAUCUGUAAGUCAGUGGUGAAAUCUCACAGCUUAACUGUGAAACUGCCAUUGAUACUGCAGGUCUUGAGUAAAUUUGAAGUGGCUGGAAUAAGUAGUGUAGCGGUGAAAUGCAUAGAUAUUACUUAGAACACCAAUUGCGAAGGCAGGUCACUAAGAUUUAACUGACGCUGAUGGACGAAAGCGUGGGGAGCGAACAGGAUUAGAUACCCCUGUAGUCCCUGUCUCUUAUAC
rnacentral:rRNA from 1 species